UAGGGAAUCUUCCGCAAUGGACGAAAGUCUGACGGAGCAACGCCGCGUGAGUGAAGAAGGAUUUCGGUUCGUAAAACUCUGUUGUUAGGGAAGAAAAAAUGUAUAGUAACUAUAUACAAAAGAGACGGUACCUAACCAGAAAGCCACGGCUAACUACGUGCCAGCAGCCGCGGUAAUACGUAGGUGGCAAGCGUUGUCCGGAAUUAUUGAGCGUAAAGCGCGCGCAGGUGGUUUAGAAAGUCUGAUGUGAAAGCCCACGGCUCAACCGUGGAGGGUCAUUGGAAUCUAAUAAACUUGAGUGCAGGAGAGAAAAGUGGAAUUCCUAGUGUGGCGGUGAAAUGCGUAGAGAUUAGGAGGAACACCGGUGGCGAAAGCGGCUUUUUGGCCUGCAACUGACACUGAGGCGCGAAAACGUGGGGAGCAAACAGG
rnacentral:rRNA from 1 species